rnacentral:lncRNA from 1 species
CGCAUUCUCUAAAAUUGGAGACUCUUAUUUCUCUCUAUCUCACGCCUGUCAACCCCCCCUCCCUUUCUCGCCGGCCAACCGUCGGAUUUGACUACCGGUGGGUCUGGUCGGCCACCACUGCUACCACCUCACCUCCCUGCUCACAUCUCUCUCACUUCUCUCUCUGUUGCGACGAACUCACUGAAAAUCGGUGAACUUGCACAUGGCAUUUCAGAUCUAACAAGAUCUGGCUAUAAUUGAUGUUAAAUCUGGCGACCUCUAUGAAACUAACACCGCUUGACCGAAGAACAUUUUUUGAUAAUCUUUUGAAUGUUGAGGCGUCGUUCCGAUACUUUUGCCGUUGAAGCGGCGUCAUUGACUCUAGAACUCUCUAGAUCUGGCCAUUUGUCCAUUUUAUGCUAGUUGCCUGAAUUUUAGUUACCAGAACCUUGUUUUCAGUGACCCUCACAUUUUUCGGCGAGCUUCACCAGCGGACGACGCCAUUGUUUCUUUUGGUACUAUUCGGGUGUUUGUUUUCCCUAUUGUUAUGGUCGAUGGCUCCUGUCUCGGUAUUAUUGGACUUCGUCCCUAUGAUGUUGGUUUUUAUGUUGGUUGGACUCUUGAUUUUUUUCGGCAAUCUCUUUGGUCGCUAUUUUGUGUUAUUGUUUAUGUUCAUGGAUGUUAAUGUUUUAAUUCUUUUGGUUGACUUAUCUUUAUGGUGAUGGAUGUUGUCGGCUUUAACUCCACUGUGGCUCCCUCUACUAGCCGAAAAUUCGUUGAUGAUUUUAAGACUAUUUGCCUCUUUAAUAAUAGUAUCUUUGUUUAGGCUCAGUUAUUUCUUGUCCACGUUGUCGAUGCUGUUGUGCGGAUGCUUUAACAGUAUUCAUGUCGUGGAUUUUGUUGUGAUAUGCUCGAUGGGAAUACUUUUUAGAGGUACGAUGCCCCGAAUGACUCUCAGAUUUGGCCUGAAAUAACGAGCCGAUGGUGAUAAACAUCGAAAAGGAAAAAGAUGAGAAUUUGACGAACCAAUAGCCCUUCGAAAAUACGACACAAUUAGCUAUCUAGUCGCAACCAAGGCGGUUAUCGUUAUCAUGUCUAGUCGGAUAUUACAUAUAUCUGAGCCUCCUAUAUUAUUUUUCUAAACUAUUUUCCAAUAAAUAAACAAUUUUCCAAAAGCAUUUUCAAACUAUUUUCAAAAACAAUCUUUCAAAAAUAUUUUCAAAUAAAAUCAUUUCAAAAUAAAUUAGUUUAUUAUUUACUUUAUAUUUUACUAAUAAUUUCCCUUCUUUUGUCUUGCGAGGUACUAUCACACGAGGUUGCUUUCGGAAGAUGAUACCCGAAGACGAAAAGACAAAUCCCCGUCAAGCCUCCCAUUUCGUAACUUCCCUUCUUAGAUGUACAAAACGCAAGUACAGUGAAACCGUAGAUAGAUAUCAUAUUUGCUAGUUUACUUGAUGUUUACAUAUUUGCCAACACUUCGGUUGUGUUGCAUCUAGUUAAUAAUCCGGUCAACUUAAGAUAUUAUGUGCUAGAUAAUUUUGCGAAACUUGUACGCAGAUUUAGUAUGUCAGAUAUAUUUAUAACUCAUUUGAUUAAUUAGGAUUAGUGUACACCUAGUUAAUUAAUUGAGUUAAUAAAAUGAAAGGCGUGUCAUUUCCUUGUCAAAAUAGGCGACUUUACCUCUUUACAACUGCAUUAACAUGAUCUUUCUUUUAACCAAUCUCUUUGUAAAUUAUUUUUGACUAUCUUACUUCAAAUAGACAUAACUUGUAAAAGCAUAAAUGAGUCUACCAUAUGUAGGAUUAAUUCAACUAUUGCAUACACAUGGGUCUAACUUGAUGACAAUGUUCUUUAUGGGCUUUUAUGAUAUUUUGUACAGGGUUGGUAAUACUCUUAGCCUCUUUAUAUAUUUGUUAUCUACAUAUGCAUUUUAUAUUUACUUAUCUGUUCAUUCAAUUCUUUUGAACCAAGCUCUAGUUGCUUUCUUGUAUGGUCUUAAUUUUCUUUUGUUAUAAAAAUC